GAAAUGCGAUAAGUAAUGUGAAUUGCAGAAUUCAGUGAAUCAUCGAAUCUUUGAACGCACCUUUCGCUCCUUGGUAUUCCUUGGAGCAUGCCUGUUUGAGUAUCAUGAAAUCUUCAAAGUAAAUCUUUUGUUAACUCAAUUGGUUUCUACUUUGGUAUUGGAGGUCUUUGCAGCUUCACACCUGCUCCUCUUUGUUCAUUAGCUGGAUCUCAGUGUUAUGCUUGGUUCCACUCGGCGUGAUAAGUUAUUUAUCGCUGAGGACACUGUAAAAGGUGGCCAAGGUAAAUGCAGAUGAACCGCUUCUAAUAGUCCAUUGACUUGGACAAUACUUUUAUGAUCUGAUCUCAAAUCAGGUAGGACUACCCGCUGAACUUAAGC
rnacentral:misc_RNA from 1 species